rnacentral:rRNA from 1 species
UACGUAGGGACCAAGCGUUGUCCGGAAUUAUUGGGCGUAAAGAGCUCGUAGGCGGUCAGUCGCGUCUGCUGUGAAAACUCGGGGCUUAACUCCGGGCCUGCAGUGGGUACGGGCUGACUAGAGUGCGGUAGGGGAGACUGGAAUUCCGUGGUGUAGCGGUGAAAUGCGCAGAUAUCAGGAGGAACACCGGUGGCGAAGGCGGGUCUCUGGGCCGUAACUGGACGCUGAGGAGCGAAAGCGUGGGGAGCGAACAGG